AUUCUGGCUCAGGAUGAACGGCUGGCGGCGUGCCUAACACAUGCAAGUCGAGCGAUUUACUUCGGUAAAGAGCGGCGGACGGGUGAGUAACGCGUGGGUAACCUGCCUCAUACACAUGGAUAACAUACCGAAAGGUAUGCUAAUACAGGAUAAUAUAAGAGAUUCACAUGGAUUUCUUAUCAAAGCUCCGGCGGUAUGAGAUGGACCCGCGUCUGAUUAGCUAGUUGGUAAGGUAAUGGCUUACCAAGGCGACGAUCAGUAGCCGACCUGAGAGGGUGAUCGGCCACAUUGGAACUGAGACACGGUCCAAACUCCUACGGGAGGCAGCAGUGGGGAAUAUUGCACAAUGGGCGAAAGCCUGAUGCAGCAACGCCGCGUGAGUGAUGAAGGCCUUCGGGUCGUAAAACUCUGUCCUCAAGGAAGAUAAUGACGGUACUUGAGGAGGAAGCCCCGGCUAACUACGUGCCAGCCGCCGC
rnacentral:rRNA from 1 species